UAAGUAAGUGAUUUUUAUUAUAAUUCCAGGUAUGGAGGGAGGUGUUAAAAACAGAAUUCAAUCUAACAGAAAUUAUCGAAAUUUCUAAUCAACAAUAUUAUGACAUUUGGUGUGAAAAGUACUCCGUACCUGAGAAAUUUAUCAUGAAUAAUUGCAAAUAUCAACCAGAUGUGCUGAGUUUUCUUUUAACUGCUUAUAGAUCACAGAAGAAACAGUAUGACCGAGAUACUGUAACGUCUCAAUGACAAUUUCAUAUUAUUAAUAAAGAAUACACUGAAAGACCGAUCAAAGCUAAUUUACUGAUUUUCAAUUAGCCUGUUUAGGGUGAAACUUUUCGGAAUUUUACCCGGAAUCUGCUGGUUACUUGCACCCUAAGAUGUUGAGAGCCAUGCACUGUUGUGGACAGUACCCAAGUAGCAAUUUUUUCGAUGUUACAAAAAAAAAAUCCGAAUGUGUUACAUAUGUCCGCCAAAAAGACAUCCUAACGAUAUUCGACGUCCGAAAGUUAACUUUCGGACACAGGUUAGCGGUCAACUAAGUCAAGUUUCUAGCGGACAUAUGUAACCAAUUCGGAUGACUUUUUCAUAACAUCGAAAAAAUUGCUAUCUGCAGGGUAAUUAAAUAAUUACUAUACAAUUUUUGUUAUCGCGAGUGAAUUAACCGGUAGAAGCUAUUAUUGCGCUGAGAGUUUCCUUACCCCAAGGAAAACACCAGGCCAAGUAGUCCACGCGUGUAGCAAUGCGCUAAAUCAGGACUAAAAGCGGUCUGGCAACCGAGAUGUGGAAAUUGAAAAUCGCACAAUAAGCACAUUUUCGGAAUUGCAGCUUAUGGCUGUACCUCCGAAAAUCGGGUAGUCUAUAAUUAGUAUCUGAACGUAUAAGGUGGUCUCGCGGAGUAGACUCGGUACAGGAAAUAGGAAAACUGAACGGUGCCUAUAUUAUUCAAGUCGAAGUACGUCGAACUACUGUACAUCUUUUUCGAUCAUUUGAAUAAACCUUCUCUGUUUUGUUAAUCUCAAGCGAGUUCUAACUCCUUAACCGGCAACUUAACUUGGCUGAGAUGAGUUCUCGAAAAUAAUAGUAUACAAUCCAAAAUUUCAAGAAGAUGGUCCUUGUCCUGGCCGCUAGGGUAGGCACUGACACUAGUGCAGUGGUUGUUAUACACAAGGACACUGAGUUCAGAAGGAGUAGAACUUAUCGUGAUUCACUGAUUGGGUUUUACUACUCGGCCCUAGGGAAAGGAAGACAAAAUAGGCCCUAAGGUAUUCCAACAAUCUUGGCUAAGACAACUGUUCCGCACUAAGUUCGCCUUUGCCUCGAAUUUUAAUGAGAGUAAAGUGUGACUGGUUUAGAUGAGACUCCUAAGUAGACUGACCAUUUCGCUGCUCGGUUCUAGCUCGAGGAAUGUCUAGACCCAGAGAAGGGAUGGAAAACUGCCGAUUGGGUGCAUUCUGGAAUCAUGGGACCACCGCAGAUUACUCUUGAUUUCCGCAGUCUUGCCACGUUAGCGGCACGUACAUUGGAGUUCAUGGUCCUAAAGUUCUCGGAUUCGUGCAAACCAAUGUACCUUCUCUUUUACACCCACUGGUGGGCUCCUAUGGGAACAUUCCGUACAUGGACCGUUCAUAUGGACUUACAAUGCUAUGGUUAUUAAUAUCUUAUUUCUAGCUUAUAUUAAGGAGCAGCUAGGUGCACGUAGGACCUGAUUACGUUGAACAAUGUUGCUCGCAAAAGAAUAGGGCAUGGGGCGGUUUGUUCAGCGUCCUGGUCGUUAGACCCAUUCUUCGUCAAUCAUGCCUAUGAUUUCAUUGCGUGAACUGGCCCGUCGCGGCACCCUGAGGGUUUCAUCCGAAAGAGGCAGGCCCGGGGUCGUCGGUCGACUCCUGAUUGGGUCGACGGGUUCUUCCCAGACCCGUCGGGAGCGAACAGUUUCUUCUUAUGGGAGCUGUUCGGGGCGCCGUACUUUCCAGGGGAGGAGCGCGGUGCCCUGAUAUUCCUUGUGUCUUUCGCGGGUAAUAAGUAUUCUCUCGCUUUUUUCUAACUUGUUUCAUAGAUUAGUUCUUAAUGUAUUCCUGUAUUGUUUCAGGAAUUGGUGGCUGAGAGAAGCCAGUCGGUAUCUUCCGAUGGGAGUACCGGGGUUUCCUCGCCGAUCACUAGGGAGGACUGCCCCUCCCUCAACAUCGGGGAGGCCCUGGUGGCUUUGAUCGCAAUCGGGGGCCAUCCAACGACAUCGCGCCCGCCCCCUCCGCUGAGGGAAUCCCUCAGAAAUCCGCGGCCCCGUGCCGCGGCCAGUGAUUGUAUAUAAAGGAAACAUUGUAGAAUAUUAAAAAUAAAAGAUAUAUAUAUAUUGUAA